UACGUAGGGCGCAAGCGUUGUCCGGAAUUAUUGGGCGUAAAGAGCUCGUAGGCGGUUUGUCGCGUCUGCUGUGAAAACUGGAGGCUCAACCUCCAGCCUGCAGUCGAUACGGGCAGGCUAGAGUUCGGCAGGGGAGACUGGAAUUCCUGGUGUAGCGGUGAAAUGCGCAGAUAUCAGGAGGAACACCGGUGGCGAAGGCGGGUCUCUGGGCCGAUACUGACGCUGAGGAGCGAAAGCGUGGGGAGCGAACAGG
rnacentral:rRNA from 1 species